rnacentral:rRNA from 1 species
CCUACGGGUGGCAGCAGUGAGGAAUAUUGGUCAAUGGGCUUACGCCUGAACCAGCCAAGUCGCGUGAGGGAAGACUGCCCUAUGGAUUGUAAACCUCUUUUGUCAGGGAGCAACGCCGGCUACGUGUAGCCGGACUGAGAGUACCUGAAGAAAAAGCAUCGGCUAACUCCGUGCCAGCAGCCACGGUAAUACGGAGGAUGCGAGCGUUAUCCGGAUUUACUGGGUGUAAAGGGAGCGUAGACGGUGAUGCAAGUCAGAAGUGAAAGCCCGGGGCUCAACCGCGGGACGGCGGUGGAAACUGGGGGGCUGGAGGGGAGGAGAGGUACGCGGAAUGCGUGGUGUAGCGGUGAAAUGCGUAGAUAUCACGAGGAACACCGGUGGCGAAGGCAGCUUACUGGAGUGUAACUGACGUUGAGGCUCGAAAGCGUGGGUAGCGAACAGGAUUAGAUACCCUUGUAGUC